rnacentral:rRNA from 1 species
AUUGAACGCUGGCGGCAGGCCUAACACAUGCAAGUCGAGCGAGCGGCGGACGGGUGAGUAAUGUAUGGGGAUCUGCCCGAUAGAGGGGGAUAACUACUGGAAACGGUGGCUAAUACCGCAUACUAUCGGAUGAACCCAGAUGGGAUUAGCUAGUAGGUGGGGUAAAGGCUCACCUAGGCGACGAUCUCUAGCUGGUCUGAGAGGAUGACCAGCCAAUCUGGAACGGAGACACGGGCCAGACUCCUACGGGAGGCAGCAGUGGGGAAUAUUGCACAAGGGGGGCAAGCCUGAGGCAGCCAUGCCGCGGGGAUGAAGAAGGCCUUCGGGUUGUAAAGUACUUUCAGCGGGGAGGCGUUACCCGCAGAAGAAGCACCGGCUAACUCCGUGCCAGCAGCCGCGGUAAUUC